AGAGUUUGAUCAUGGCUCAGAACGAACGCUGGCGGCAGGCUUAACACAUGCAAGUCGAACGAGACUUCGGUCUAGUGGCGCACGGGUGAGUAACGCGUGGGAACCUGUCCUAUGGUACGGAAUAACACCGGGAAACUGGUGCUAAUACCGUAUAAGCCCCGAGGGGGAAAGAUUUAUCGCCAUAGGAGGGGCCCGCGUAG
rnacentral:rRNA from 1 species